UCAAAUACUCUAGCAGUAUAUUCCAUUUAUUGUAUAUAUCCCUUUUUUGUGUCAUUGACAUCAGAUAUUGCAUUCAAUCGAAUGGUUUGACAUAAGAAAUGUUCGAGUCUAUCUGUAGUAGUUCUGUUUGUUUAUAGUAGAGUAGUACAUGAGGGUGGCGACUCACAAGGGGAGUGUAGACCAGAGCAAGAGGGAGCCAAGCCA
rnacentral:lncRNA from 1 species